rnacentral:rRNA from 1 species
UACUAACCGUUAACACAAAUACGCUUGCAGUCGAGCGAAUGGAUUAAGAGCUUGCUCUUAUGAAGUUAGCGGCGGACGGGUGAGUAACACGUGGGUAACCUGCCCAUAAGACUGGGAUAACUCCGGGAAACCGGGGCUAAUACCGGAUAACAUUUUGAACCGCAUGGUUCGAAAUUGAAAGGCGGCUUCGGCUGUCACUUAUGGAUGGACCCGCGUCGCAUUAGCUAGUUGGUGAGGUAACGGCUCACCAAGGCAACGAUGCGUAGCCGACCUGAGAGGGUGAUCGGCCACACUGGGACUGAGACACGGCCCAGACUCCUACGGGAGGCAGCAGUAGGGAAUCUUCCGCAAUGGACGAAAGUCUGACGGAGCAACGCCGCGUGAGUGAUGAAGGCUUUCGGGUCGUAAAACUCUGUUGUUAGGGAAGAACAAGUGCUAGUUGAAUAAGCUGGCACCUUGACGGUACCUAACCAGAAAGCCACGGCUAACUACGUGCCAGCAGCCGCGGUAAUACGUAGGUGGCAAGCGUUAUCCGGAAUUAUUGGGCGUAAAGCGCGCGCAGGUGGUUUCUUAAGUCUGAUGUGAAAGCCCACGGCUCAACCGUGGAGGGUCAUUGGAAACUGGGAGACUUGAGUGCAGAAGAGGAAAGUGGAAUUCCAUGUGUAGCGGUGAAAUGCGUAGAGAUAUGGAGGAACACCAGUGGCGAAGGCGACUUUCUGGUCUGUAACUGACACUGAGGCGCGAAAGCGUGGGGAGCAAACAGGAUUAGAUACCCUGUUAGUCCACGCCGUAAACGAUGAGUGCUAAGUGUUAGAGGGUUUCCGCCCUUUAGUGCUGAAGUUAACGCAUUAAGCACUCCGCCUGGGGAGUACGGCCGCAAGGCUGAAACUCCAAGAAAUUGACGGGGGCCCGCACAACCGUGGAGCCUG